rnacentral:sRNA from 1 species
GCUGGGUGUGGUGGUGCAUUUCUGUAAUUCCAGCUACUUGGGAGGAUGAGGCAGAAGGAUUGCAAGUUUGAGGACAGCUUAGGCAAUUUAGCAAAAUCCUGCCUCCA